UUAUCCCUAUUUGAAUUCAAAAUACUAUUUCUUCCUCCUUGAUAUCUUAUCUCCUUGAUGCUCUGUCUACUACAAUACUCUAUUCCCUCAAUACUCUGUCUGCUUGAUGUUUUUUGUCUUGAGUAUCCUACCUCCUUCACAAUCAGCAUCUUCAAUAUUUUGUACCAAUAAUAUCCUACACCUUCAAUAUUCUAUAUGCAUAAUGUCCUACCUUCUCAAUAGUCUUAUCUCUUAAUACUCUAUUUUUUCAAUAUCCUAUUCCAAUAGUAUUCUAGUUCUUGAUAUCCUACUUCCAUUGAUACUCUAUCCCUAUUGAUACUCUACUCCUUUAAUUUUAUGCUCCAAGAUAUCCUGCCUCAUAAUGUCAUAUCUCUUUAAUACCUUGGCUUAUCAAUACUCUAUCCCUUUGAUACAUUAUCCCUCAAUACUCUAAAUCUUAAAAUCCUAAAUCCUCCUGCUACCUCCUUCAAUGCCCUGAUCUUCCAUAUUCUGCUCUGAAUCUUAAUUGCUAUCUCUAAUACCCUCUCUCAAUACCUUACUCUUUUUAUAUCCAUCCUUAAUAUCUUCUUGCUGCUCCCCCUAACCUUGUUACGUUCUUGAUAUUUAAUUCCAACUUUUACUUUUUUCUUCUCUUUCUUCCAUAAUAUGCUACUUUAGACUCCAAAUACUAAUCCUCUUCCAUCUCUUU
rnacentral:lncRNA from 1 species